CUGCAGGAGGAGGACAGUGAGAAGUCCUAAACAACGAUAUUAUUAAACUCAUUCCCUUUCUGGAACACAGUUCCAUUUCAACGGACGUUCACUCAUUUUAAAUCCCGCGAACGAUUUGAUCCGGUCCAACGUGGUCCCAGUCCCCACGUGCUUGCCACUGCAGUGAACGAUCGGCGCCUGCAACUGUGAACCACUCCUCUUCAGCUCUCCCCGC
rnacentral:lncRNA from 1 species